rnacentral:rRNA from 1 species
AUUGAACGCUGGCGGCAUGCCUUACACAUGCAAGUCGAACGGUAACAGGUUAAGCUGACGAGUGGCGAACGGGUGAGUAAUAUAUCGGAACGUGCCCAGUCGUGGGGGAUAACGUAGCGAAAGCUACGCUAAUACCGCAUACGAUCUACGGAUGAAAGCGGGGGAUCGCAAGACCUCGCGCGAUUGGAGCGGCCGAUAUCAGAUUAGGUUGUUGGUGAGGUAAAAGCUCACCAAGCCUGCGAUCUGUAGCUGGUCUGAGAGGACGACCAGCCACACUGGGACUGAGACACGGUCCAGACUCCUACGGGCGGCAGCAGUGGGGAAUUUUGGACAAUGGACGCAAGUCUGAUCCAGCAAUGCCGCGUGCAGGACGAAGGCCUUCGGGUUGUAAGCUGCUUUUGUACGGAACGAAACGGUGAGCUCUAAUACAGUUUGCUAAUGACGGUACCGUAAGAAUAAGCACCGGCUAACUACGUGCCAGCCGCCGCGGUAA